UGGAAUGCUACCUUGUUGAUCCUGCCAAUAGUCAUAUGCUUGUCUCAAAGAUUAAGCCAUGCAUGUGUAAGUAUGAACUAAUUCAGACUAUGAAACUGCGAAUGGCUCAUUAAAUCAGUUAUAGUUUGUUUGAUGGUAUUUGCUACUCGGAUAACCGUAGUAAUUCUAAAGCUAAUACGUGCAACAAACCCCGAUUUCUGGAAGGGAUGCAUUUAUUGGAUAAAAGGCCGACGCGAGCUCUGCCCGUUGCUCUGAUGAUUCAUGAUAAUUCGACGGAUCGCACGGCCAUCGUGCCGGCGACGCAACAUUCAAAUUUCUGCCCUAUCAACUUUCGAUGGUAGGAUAUGGCCUACUAUGGUGGUGACGGGUGACGGAGAAUUAGGGUUUGAUUCCGGAGAGGGAGCCUGAGAAACGGCUACCACAUCCAAGGAAGGCAGCAGGCGCGCAAAUUACCCAAUCCUAACACAGGGAGGUAGUGACAAUAAAUAACAAUACCGGGCUCUUCGAGUCUGGUAAUUGGAAUGAGUACAAUCUAAAUCCCUUAACGAGGAUCAAUUGGAGGGCAAGUCUGGUGCCAGCAGCCGCGGUAAUUCCAGCUCCAAUAGCGUAUAUUUAAGUUGUUGCAGUUAAAAAGCUCGUAGUUGGACCUUGGGUU